rnacentral:lncRNA from 1 species
AAUUCUAAGAAAUAAGGCUUGCUGGGGAGGCCUGCGGGGACAUCUAAUAUUCUUUCUCUCUGAACUCUGUGCCCCAAAGUCGUGAACUUGCCUGUUGGGGAUUCUGAGUGAAUGCUGGAAAUCCAGAUUCGUUGGGGCCAGAGUUUGCCCUGCGCAUGAGGGAGAGGGUGUGGGGUAUGGGCAGAGGUGGCAAGGGAGGCUUUGUGAAACGUUACACUCUGCUUCCUCAACUGCAGGCCAUUUCUCUGGGCCAGGAGCCAGCUGUUCCCAAAAUGGCCACGAUGCCUCAGGAGGGAGGUUGACACCCUGUGCUCUCAGAAGCAGCUCAGAGCUCAGAGGCAGACCUCUACUCAUGCAAUUCUGCCUUCUGUGCAUGCAAUGGAUUGCUGCCAUCUCCAAUCAGCCACAAUGGGAGGCCACCUGCUAGACAUGGAAGAGCCACCGGAUGGAAGAAGCCUGGGUCUCUGAAAUACUGCUUGGAGUAGACUACUCUGCCUGCAAACUAGGAGCACUGAUUUUGGACUUUUUGGGAGGGACUUCUAUGCCCUCUGCAGUUUGCCUCUUCCUCUGCUAUUUUUUCAUGUAUGUGUAUGUUUUUUGCCUGUAUUUGCAAUGCCAGCCAUCAUUUGCCAUGUCUUCUAGCGGCAACCUGCAUUUAGCCCAGAUCUGCUGUGAUUAUUCCUUUUCACAAACCACAAUGACUCUGGAAAACCUGGCUGUAAACACCAGCACUGCCACCAGCUAAGGAUCUGUGAUCAGGAGUGCCAUCUCACGGUAACAGGAAUAUGAAGUCUGAGGUUUCUGCUCUGACAAGAGGAAAUGUCUAACAGCAGAAGACAAAAGUGAAACCGGGCUGAUGCGAAUCACUGGGAAACUGGCUUUGGCACCUCCAGAGAAUGAACUGUUUCAUAGCCUAGCUGACCAUCCAUGAAAAUGGCUGCCUGGAGAGGCAGUGAUCAGCCCAUCCCUGCAGGGUGAAGAUAAGCUUGUGCAGGCCACUGGCUAACACAGUUCAUCCCAUGCCUCCUACAUACCAAGCACUGUGCCAGGCACUUUUCACGUCUGGCAUCCUCAGAAUCCUCCAAAAGGAGAGGUUCGUGGAGGAUAAUGCUGUCAGGCUUGGAAGCAGCAGUAGAGAUCACGUUGCCCAGCUCUUGGCAUCAUUGGUUCCCAAAGCUCUGAAUCCCCUGGAGAGCUUUUGUAAAAGGUCGGAUUCAGACAAUCCGGUGGAGCACUCUGAAAUUUAGAGGAAGUGGUCAAAUAGAAUUUUCUGGAAUUAUGGAAAUCUUCUAUUCUGUGCAUCUAGUAUAGUAGAAUCUAGUCACAUGUGGCUUUUGAGAACUGGAAAUAUGGCUAAUGCAACAGAGAAAGUGAAUUUUUACUUUUGAUUCAUUUAAAUAUAAAUGGUCACAUAUGACAUCACUGCCAUAUUGGACAUUGCAGUUCUGGAAGAUGGCAGAUGCAGCCCUCAGAAGAAUUAUCAGCCUGAAUGUCUGGGCGGAGCAGAGCACUACCUUCCCACUCACUCUUCCCCUCCUCUCGCCCCCUCCCCUGCCUCACUUGCAUCAGAUUAUGAUGUGAGCAAAAGCAGGAAACAGCUCUUUUGAUAGGCCUGUGAGACUUGCUGUUCGUUGGAGUAGCUAGGCUGCUCUGACUCAUACAGACCCAAAUCCUGGCAACCACUUUUAUGAAGAAAUGACAAUUCAGUCUACUACUUGUCCAUUUUACAUGCCCAAGGAAUGUGAGGGGCCUCUGCUUGGAUCUAGUUUUCAACCUAGUCUAUGGCAUUGAUUAUCCUUUUAAAAGACAAAAGAGGUGACUUCACGGGCACUUAACAUCUUGGCCAUACUGACCCCAGUUGCACGCUACGUAGGAAGUUUUAGUCCAUUUAAACUGAAGUUCCAAUUUUUUUUUUAACAACUAUUUAAAAAUUGUACAUGUCCCAUACAUGACAGAGAAAGGGUUGUCUGGUUGGAUGAUUUUUGGCUUGCAAAAAGAGAACACAAAAGAAAAGCAUACGUUUUAAUACUCAAGAGACCAAAUUUUCUGCUGAAGAGGAAAUGAACUACAUAUCCAGAAGGGUCCUACCAAGAGGCCAAACAGACUGUGUUCUCUUGGGGGAGUUCUCAGUGGUGAUGAGAACACCACUUUUUUUUUUUUUUUAGUCAUUUUCAAGGUGAGAUAUUGACUUGCUGCUGGAGCAGGACAACUGGUCUCUCUUUCAUUGCUAGCAGCAGAGUAAGGGUCUUGCAAGUUUCAGGCAGCAGCAGAGAAAGGGUCUUGCAAGUUUCAGUCCAAAGCAAGAAGAGCUAGGAUUGCACCAGCUGUCUCACCUACUCUGUGCUCACCUGUUUCUGGAUGAAGCACGGUGACAUCUGUUUUAUUGUAAAGAGAACCAACUUUGGAAUCAAAUGGAACCUGUAUUAAAAUCCUGAAUCCGUCACUAGCUUGGACAAGUCACUUCACUUCUCUGAACCUUGUUUUAUUCCAGUUAAGAAUAAUAGUAAGCCAGUCCCACAGAGCUGUAGCAAGGUUAAAAUGAAUGGUUGUCUGUAGAAGCAUUUAAAAUAGGGCUUCAUACAGAGCCAGUACCUGGGGAGACUGAGGGUUUGAACCACAUAGUUCCACUCUGGCAAAUCACAGAGGGGCUGUAGGAUGGUCCUUUAAGGGGGAUGUGUUAUGGGUUAAUUGGAACAGUGCUUCUUAAACUCCAGUGUGCAUUCAUAUUGCUUAGGGGUUUUGUUUAAAUGCAGAUUCUGAGUUACUAGGAUUAUGCAAUUUGAAUGAGCUUGCAGAUAAUUUCAUGGCUGCUGGUCUCUGACAUCACCUUUGAGAAGCAAAGAAUUAAAGGUCCUGUCCUGAUCUGUCUCCUUCUCCUGUUAUCUGUGCAAAAGAGAUAUACUGUCUACUUUGCAUAGUGAGAUGGCAGGUACAAAAGUAGGAUGAGGAUAAUGUAGCAUGAGCACAGAGAAGGAAAACCUAGGAGGAUGAGUAAAGAAAUCAUGGGAAAAGAGAUAGAUUCAAGGCUUUCAAUCCUGACUAGACUUUAAAUUCACCUGGAGAGCUUUAAAAAAACUAGCCAUUGUCUGGUCCCAGGAAUACUGAUUUAAUUGAUUAGGAUGGGACCAGACAUGACAUGUUAAAGAAAAUAACUCCCCAGAUUAUUCUAGUGUGUAGCCAGGGUUAAGAACUGCUGGGCUAGACAAAUGAGACAACUUUCCCAGAUGGAAAGAAUCAGGAAGGGGCCUUAUCAAGAUAUUAUGUCAGGUUUGGUUUUCAGGGGGCUGAUAGGAAAGAAAAAGAAAUGCUUCAUGGAAAUUGCAGGUAAGACAGGCCAAUUGGUUGAAACCUUGACAAAUCAGACCAUUUGAUCAAAUUGUUCCCAAAAUAUGAAAACUCUGUCUCAACCGAAAUAAUCACUUAGCUCUGGGACUCUAAAGCAACCUGUUUGUCUGUUGGGAAGCUAGGGUAAAUGUGAGAAGUGAAAUCCAUGCCAUUUUUUGGAACUGGAGACUUUUUAAUAAUUUCAUUAACAUUGUCAGUUUGGUUGUCCUCUGUGAUCAGAAGCUGUCGAAUGAUGUUCAUUUGAGUACAGAAGCCAGCCCUUUCUGUAGCAUUAACCAGGCCUCAGUCCAGUGGAUCUCUACAGGGUGCCACGAGCCCAGCACAAGUGCUCCAACACAUUCUGACCAAUGAGCAUAAUUAAUUUGUUGUAAUUGACUUUACACUCUUGAAGCCCAGGUGUAGACUUCCUUCUUGUUACCAGAAGCCAGCUCAGACAUGGCCCUUUGCCAGCCUCAACACAAAGCUCAGCUCUCUUCCAGGGUUCCCUAAGAUCUAGGCACGUCAAGCAUCUGAAAAUAAUAUGGUUUUACAGAAGAUUCCUUACAUCCUGCGGUGGGGCCAGCUCAGGCACUGAACAACGUUUUGUUUGAGCAAUCCCCAUUGGACACAUCUCUCCCCCGAAUCCCUGUCUGCACAGCCAAUAAGGUGAUUCUCCUCUGUCACCCUCCUUAGCCCUUGCCCAUUCUUUUAUUCCUUUACAAGACAGCUGGGUUUAGCCCUGUCCUAAGUGCUCCACACUCGGCUGCCUGCACCCAGGCAUAGCAAACACAAAGCCCUUCGGAACCCCAGGCCCACCCUCUUUAGAUACAUGUUAUAAACUGUUACUGUUGAUGAGGUCAUUCCAGUGGGUGUCAAGCUGGGCACAGCUUCUGGUAAGAAGAAGAAAGCAUAGCAGAUUCACAUCUCAGCCAAAGAACCUGGCUGUGAAAAGCCUUUGCCUAAAAGGUCAUGCAGUCCACAGUUCUGCCACACAACUGCAGCCUGGAAUCACAUGGGGAGUUCUUAAAAUGCUGAUGGCUGGGCUGUACCCCUGAAAUUCUGAUUUAAUUGGCCUGGGGUGUGGCCUGGGCAUUAGAGUUUUGUUAAAGUUCCCAAGUCAUUCCUGCCAUGCUGCCAAAUUUGAGAGACGUUGUUCUAAAGAGGCUUAGCGAUAAAGGCCAAGUGAAAAGGACAACCAGUCCUACGUUAUAGUUGCAAUUGCUUUGUCCUUAUUACUGACCUGUUUGGUCUUGUUUUGAGUCUUUUAAUCCCUUCAACUGAACUCUCCAAAAUUCUACUAUUGGACAGUAUAGCACAGAAAGUUUGGG